GUCCACGCCCUAAACGAUGUCAACUGGUUGUUGGGAAGGGUUCCUUCUCAGUAACGUAGCUAACGCGUGAAGUUGACCGCCUGGGGAGUACGGCCGCAAGGUUGAAACUCAAAGGAAAUUGACGGGGACCCGGCACAAGCGGUGGAUGAUGUGGUUUUAAUUUCGACGCAACGCGAAAAACCUUAACCUACCCUUGACAUGUCUGGAAUUUUGUCAGAGAUGUGAAAGUGCUCGAAAGAGAACCAGAACACAGGUGCUGCAUGGCCGUCGU
rnacentral:rRNA from 1 species